CCUCUGUACAUCACCUUGACGAUAAAAAAAAUUAAAAAUAAAUAAAUAAAAUGAGGGGGAACAACUGAGGGAAAGUGGAGGAAGAGGUGACAUCGUCCAAAAAGAAUUGUAUUCAUUACCUGACCUAUGAAACUGUAACCCCUCUGUAUAACACCUUAAUAAUAACAAUAAAAUUAUACUUUAAAAAAAGAGAGCAGAUGACUAUCUCUACAAUGAAUCUGUCUAAGUAAAAAUCCAGAGAACUUUCAAAUGGCAGAGGAGUAAGAAUAUGCAGAUAGAACUUUCCUGUUGUGUAAACAUACUGAAGUAGCUAGAAACUUGCUAUAGAGAGGAACAUUGAGAAUCCUCAAAACCCCUUCCAGAGCCCCAACCACCACUCUAAAUAACAGAUUAACAACAGUAAAAGGAAUGUGAAGCCCAUGGUACAAUAAAAGUAAUGAUAGGGCUGGGAAUGUGGCCUAGAGGUAGAGUGCUUAGCAUGCAGGAA